GAAUCAUUCCCAUCUGAAGACUGGUUGGUGGCCUAUUUGCAAUGAGCUGGUGCACUCAGAUGCCAGAGGAUGAGUAUCCUUGUAGACUUAUGCAUAUUGCAUUUGUUGUUGCCAUAUCUAGAUACUUUUCUCCAAAUCAAGCUCAAAUUCAAGCCCUCAGCUGGCAAAGCAGGGAGAAGUGCAUGAAUCAAAAGAGACAAGGACAUCACUUGCUUCACUGCUGGAAUGACAUACAAUUCUUACUGUAUUAGCAAUAUUCAUAUUGCUUUGUCAACCUUUGUUUUAUAUUAAUUGAUGCAGUUUUCCUUA